CCUACGGGAGGCAGCAGUGAGGAAUAUUGGUCAAUGGCCGGAAGGCUGAACCAGCCAUGCCGCGUGAAGGUCAGUGCCCUAUGGGCGUUAAACUUCUUUUGUGCGGGAGCAAUAAUGGUCACGUGUGGCCAGACGAGAGUACCGUACGAAUAAGCAUCGGCUAACUCCGUGCCAGCAGCCGCGGUAAUACGGGGGAUGCAAGCGUUAUCCGGAUUUAUUGGGGUUAAAGGGUGCGUAGGCUGUGAGGUAAGUCAGCGGUGAAAUGCCCCCGCGCAACGGGGUGAAGUGCCAUUGAUACUGCCUUGCUGGAAUGCGGAGGCCGGGGGAGGAAUGUGUGGUGUAGCGGUGAAAUGCAUAGAUAUCACACAGAACACCGAUUGCGAAGGCAUCUCACGAAUCCGCGAUUGACGCUGAUGCACGAAAGCGUGGGUAUCAAACAGGAUUAGAUACCCUUGUAGUC
rnacentral:rRNA from 1 species